GCUUCAGCUAAAGGGUUACACACCAACAGGGGCCAGACGCCUUGCCUCUUCAACUCGCCUCUCCCUAUUCCGUUUGUUUUUGCUGCUGCCUAUCUGCGGGAGUUUAGCUUGGCCAAUUAAUUCAUAUGAUUCCAUGGUGAGGAAUAGCUUGACUUACUAUCUCAACUUGCGGCAUUGGUUAGGUGACACUCAACAAUUGUAUUUUCUUCCUACAUUUGCUUAUGGUGGAUUGUCCUGGUCCUGGUGGAUACACCUGCCGUUUUCCUUUUCACCAUGACCUCUACUACAAUCCCAUCACCUCCCUUUUCCUUUGCUUUUGACAUCGUUCUUUUUCUAUGUUCAGCUUUUGGAUUAAGAACUUCCCAGAAACCUCUGUUCGAGAUGAGGUAAUGAUUAAUUUGAUGUGUUAAUGGAAUUUCUUCUUAGCCUUUAUUUAAUGAAGUACGAAUAAGUUUCCUCUUUCUUUGGUUUUGUGUUUAUCUCUAUUUCUCUUCACAACCGACCAAUGUAGGAAGAUGUAAGUUACACUGCUUUUGAGCUUAUCUUUGUUAUGGCUCUCUUUGGUAUUUUCUCUAUCUUUUUUCAUAUUUGAGAUUGGGAAUAUGGUUGAGUUCUACUGGUUUUCCAUUCUCUCCUCACCCCAAAACCCUAGAAGAAAAAUAAACAAGAGAUGGCAUGUGUUUGACAUCUACCUGAUAUUGCCAUCCUGAUUCUAAGAUUGUUAUGUCUUUGUAAUUUUACAGCAAUCUCUGGUUUCUCUGUCACAAUUACAUUGAGAGGAACAGACUUUUAUGCAUAUUUCUUUUAAUUUUCCUUUUGUUGACUUGGUGCCACUAACCAAAGACAUUUGCAUUAAAAGGAAUAUGUGUUAUAUGCAACUUUAUAUAAUCAAUUUUAGAAAUUUAUUUGAAUGCAUGAUGAUUUGGUGUUCAAAUAAUUUAGUAUUCGGAACCGUAAACUGGCAAGAACCGAAUUGGAACCGGUGUAGACUGAACUGUAAAGUUUUAGUAAUAAAUUUAAAUGAAACCGCAUCAAACCGAACCGUUGAUAUUUUCCGAUUCCAGUUCUGGUUUAAGGGUGGAACCGCAUAGUGCCCAUCCCUAGCAUCAACCGUGACACUAGAUGGAAGUGUGACAAGGAUGGCAAUGAUGUCUAAC